rnacentral:rRNA from 1 species
AUUGGUCAAUGGGCGCUAGCCUGAACCAGCCAAGUAGCGUGAAGGAUGACUGCCCUAUGGGUUGUAAACUUCUUUUAUAUGGGAAUAAAGUGCAGUAUGUAUACUGCUUUGCAUGUACAUUAUGAAUAAGGAUCGGCUAACUCCGUGCCAGCAGCCGCGGUAAUACGGAGGAUCCGAGCGUUAUCCGUAUUUAUUGGGUUUAAAGGGAGCGUAGGUGGAUUGUUAAGUCAGUUGUGAAAGUUUGCGGCUCAACCGUAAAAUUGCAGUUGAAACUGGCAGUCUUGAGUACAGUAGAGGUGGGCGGAAUUCGUGGUGUAGCGGUGAAAUGCUUAGAUAUCACGCAGAACCCCGAUUGCGAAGGCAGCCUUCCGGCGCCCUACUGACGCUGAGGCACGAAAGUGCGGGGAUCGAACGG